rnacentral:rRNA from 1 species
UACGUAGGGUGCAAGCGUUGUCCGGAUUUAUUGGGUUUAAAGGGUGCGUAGGCGGGCUAUUAAGUCAGUGGUGAAAUCCAGCAGCUUAACUGUUGAUGUGCCAUUGAUACUGGUAGCCUUGAGUACAGAUGAGGUAGGCGGAAUUGACAGUGUAGCGGUGAAAUGCAUAGAGAUUGUCAAGAACUCCGAUAGCGAAGGCAGCUUACUGGGCUGUAACUGACGCUGAUGCACGAAAGUGUGGGGAUCAAACAGG